AUUGAACGCUGGCGGCAGGCCUAACACAUGCAAGUCGAACGAGUGGCGGACGGGUGAGUAAUGUCUGGGAAACUGCCUGAUGGAGGGGGAUAACUACUGGAAACGGUAGCUAAUACCGCAUACCAUCGGAUGUGCCCAGAUGGGAUUAGCUAGGAGGUGGGGUAAAGGCUCACCUAGGCGACGAUCCCUAGCUGGUCUGAGAGGAUGACCGGCCACACUUGAACUGAGACACGGUCCAGACUCCUACGGUAGGCAGCAGUGGGGAAGAGUGCACAAUGGGCGAAAGCGUGAUGCAGCAAUGCCGCGUUGAUGAAGAGGGCCUUAGGGUUGUAAAGUACUUUCAGCGGGGAGGCGUUACCCGCAGAAGAAGCGCCGGCUAACUCCGUGCCAGCAGCCGCGGUAAUAC
rnacentral:rRNA from 1 species